GCGGAGGAAAAGAAACUAACAAGGAUUCCCCUAGUAACUGCGAGUGAAGCGGGAAAAGCUCAAAUUUAAAAUCUGGCGGUCUCUGACUGUCCGAGUUGUAAACUAGAGAAGUGUUAUCCGUGCUGGACCAUGUAUAAGUCUCCUGGAACGGAGCGUCAUAGAGGGUGAGAAUCCCGUCUUUGACAUGGACUACCAGUGCAUUGUGAUAUGCUCUCAAAGAGUCGAGUUGUUUGGGAAUGCAGCUCAAAAUGGGUGGUAAAUUCCAUCUAAAGCUAAAUAUUGGCGAGAGACCGAUAGCGAACAAGUACCGUGAGGGAAAGAUGAAAAGAACUUUGGAAAGAGAGUUAAACAGUACGUGAAAUUGUUGAAAGGGAAACGCUUGAAGUCAGUCACAUUGGCUGGAGAUCAACCUUGCUUUUGGAAGGUGUACUCUCUGGUUGAUGGGUCAGCAUCAAUUUUGACCAUUGGAAAAAGGUUAGGGGAAUGUGGCAUCCUUGGAUGUGUUAUAGCCCUUGAUUGUAUACAGUGGUUGGGAUUGAGGAACUCAGCACGCCGCAAGGCCGGGUUUUACCACGUUCGUGCUUAGGAUGCUGGCAUAAUGGCUUUAAUCGACCCGUCUUGAAACAC
rnacentral:rRNA from 1 species